UCUAAACUCUCUCCAUUCAAUCUCAGAAAUGGAAUAAUUUGGAGAGGAGUGAUGCUUGUAUGAAUCAAUAAUUGGAGCAAAUAAUGAAUGUGAUAGGAGAUGGUGGCUGAAAUAAAGUCCUCAAGGAUAAAUAGAUGUCAGGCCGAGAUGAAGGAGAAGGCCAGAGUUUCUGAGACACCCAGGCAGGGAAUAACAACGUGUGUUCGGAAUGAGAAGAUCUGAGAGCCUGCGUGUGGAGAAGGGCGAGAGAAGCCAGAGACGGAGGCAGGGGCUGAGUUAUCAUGACAUCAGUUGGGCUUUGUCUUGUAGACAAUGAUGUGUCACCGGGUAAUUUUAAACAGGUGAGUGACAUGAUCAGAUUUGUGAAUUAAAAAAAUCACUAUGCCUUUGGUAUUUCAAAAGGUUCAGGCUGGAUGCGGUGCCUCACACCUGUAAUCCCGGCACUUUUGGAGGUCAAGGCAGGAGGAUCGCUUGAGACCAGAAGUUCCAGACCAGUCUGGGCAACAUGAAAGGAAGCGUUCAACGUUAAGUAGCUUCUGUGUGUUCGAGAAUACUAUGUGGAAGGAAUGGUGUCUGUGCUGGGAAAGUACAAAAGCCUAAUGUGGCUUCACAGACGAUCUCUUUUUGGCGGUGUUGAAGUGCGUGGAGAGCUGGAGGGGAGAAGACCAGUUGACCCGGGUCCCAGGAAGAAAGGGAGACAGGACCCAGAUGAGCAGCUCAUCUACUUCCCUCCCCUUCAACACUGAAGUGUGUGAAGACCUUUAAAAAGUCCUAUGAGGCGGUGUUCUCAGAUGAUGGUGCUGGAGGGGGGACGGUGGAGGGGAGCUGGUCAGAGAGAUUAUGUUCAUUUACA